UUGCCGGGUGUGAGGAGCGCGAGUGUGACAAGGUCGGAGCAGAGGCUGCGGGUUGUCGAAGACGACAACGCGAAGGAGCUAUGGGUCGAGCGCGACCAGCGAGAAAACGACGAUGAUGUCACGGCGCGGCAAGAGCUCAGCGACGACGAGAGCACCGGUGCUGCUGCAAUGAGGUCGAGGGAUACGACGCUGAAACAGCAGGACAACGACGAGGUAGAGCUCGGACGGCUGGAGAACGAUGCUGAAAGGGCCGAGCUGCUUUGGCGUGAGGGAGCAGGACACUCACAGGCUGAGAGCGAGCAGUUGGGGAAGAACUACAGAGAAGCUUGCUGCAGCAUGGGAACAAGCAAGUACAUGGUGGCUACCAGGGCUAGGAAACAUGGAAUAGAGAGCAUAAAACCUCACCCGAUAUGGUUGGCCACGGAAGGGGGAGCUCUGGCGUACGGCGACUAA
rnacentral:misc_RNA from 1 species